rnacentral:lncRNA from 1 species
UUUAUUUCAUCAAAUUUUUUAUAUCUUUCCUUGUGAGGUCUUCCUGGCUGCCUUUUAUCUCCAGUCGGUGGCUUUAUUACAUCAUCCAAAAUAUGUUGUGGAACAUCCCAUUUCGCUUCUUCAGGAAGAGGAUUAACUGACAAUUCAUAUGUAAGAAGAAGACUCUUCGUUGUGUAAUACAGUGAGCAAUAGUUGUCCGGCCUUUCAUUCCUAUGCCUUAAUGCUGCCAAAGCAUGUGCACAUGGAAG